CCCGCUCAGAAACUUAAAGGAAUUGACGGGGCCCGCGACAAGCGGUGGAGUAUGUGGUUAAUUCGAUGCAACGCGAAGAACCUUACCUGGUCUUGACAUCCCGGAGACCCUUAGGAAACUAGGGGGUGCUUCCAUCUGGAAGAAUCUGGAGACAGGUGCUGCAUGGCUGUCGUCAGCUCGUGUCGUGAGAUGUUGGGUUAAGUCCCGCAACGAGCGCAACCCUUGCCUUUAGUUGCCAGCAGUUCGGCUGGGCACUCUAAAGGGACUGCCGGUGUUAAACCGGAGGAAGGUGGGGAUGACGUCAAGUCCUCAUGGCCUUUAUGACCAGGGCUACACACGUACUACAAUGGCCGAUACAAAGGGCAGCGACACUGCGAGGUGAAGCCAAUCCCGUAAAAUCGGUCUCAGUCCGGAUUGGAGUCUGCAACUCGACUCCAUGAAGUUGGAAUCGCUAGUAAUCGUGGAUCAGCAUGCCACGGUGAAUACGUUCCCGGGCCUU
rnacentral:rRNA from 1 species